rnacentral:rRNA from 1 species
UACGGGGGAUGCGAGCGUUGUCCGGAUUCACUGGGCGUAAAGGGCGCGUAGGCGGCCCGGUCAGUCGGCGCUCUAAGUGCGGGGCUCAACCCCGUGAUGGCGCCGGGACGGCCGGGCUGGGGCGCGGCAGAGGGAGACGGAAUGCCGGGUGUAGUGGUGAAAUGCGUAGAGAUCCGGCGGAACACCGGUGGCGAAGGCGGCUCACUGGACCGGUACUGACGCUGAUGCGCGAAAGCGUGGGGAGCAAACGGG